UACCAGCUCUCCGAGUGGUGUGGAUGUUUAUUGGGCCUAAAGCAUCCGUAGCUGGCUGGGCAAGUCCCCUGUUAAAUCCACCGAUUUAAUCGUUGGAGUGCGGGGGAUACUGUUCGGCUAGGGGACGGGAGAGGCAGACGGUAUUUUCGGGGUAGGGAUGAAAUCCUAUAAUCCCGGGAAGACCACCAGUGGCGAAGGCUGUCUGCUAGAACGCGCCCGACGGUGAGGGAUGAAAGCUGGGGGAGCGAACCGGAUUAGAUACCCGGGUAGCCCCAGCUGUAAACGAUGCAGGCUAGGUGUUUGGGCGGCCACAUGCCGCUCUAGUGCCGCAGGGAAGCCGUUAAGCCUGCCGCCUAGGGAGUACGGCCGCAAGGCUAGAAACUUAAAGGAAUUGGGCGGGGGAGCACCACAAGGCGUGAAGCUUGCGGUUC
rnacentral:rRNA from 1 species